GAGUGCACAUGGGACACCAGUAGUACUAGAUAAUAUAAUUUUGAUAGAAAGAGUUUUAUAAUUUAAACAAUUUUAUAAGCCUAUAUAUAUGUGUGAUUUUCCAUCAAGGAAGAAAAUGAACUCAACAAUGGCAAAGAUGUUCCUAUCUCACAAGCUCUCUUUCUUCUUUUGUAUUCUCCUUGUUUCACUUGUUGUUAAUUCAUUUUGGUUCUCAAACACUCAUCAAGUGAUGGCUUUAAGAAACAUACAUUUUGAAGAAGAACUACAAGUGAUUGAGCAAAUAAUAAAGCCUUAUGUAUCUUCAUGUGGCAAAUCUUGUACAUCUCAUGAAUAUUGCCAAACUUUUAAAGGUUCACCAUGUACACAAUGUCGAUUGUUGACUAAAAAGUCCACGUCAUGGAGAUGCUAUAGGUGGAAAUAAUCCGACGCUAUAAAAAAAAAAUACUGAAAUUAGCUACGAUGGAAUUUCCACUAGUCCGUGGAAGAGGCAUCAACAACUUGCUAUGUGUCUUUAUGUGUUUAUGUCGUUUACUUCUUUUUUUUUUUAAGUUGUGUCUCGUAUCAGUUUGUUUGAAUAAUUCGUUGCUAAUAUAAUAUUUUGAUAUUUUGUCGUUAA